UCCGGUUUAUCACCGGCAGUCUCCUUAGAGUUCCCAGCCGAACUGUUGGCAACUAAGGACGAGGGUUGCGCUCGUUACGGGACUUAACCCAACACCUCGCGGCACGAGCUGACGACAGCCAUGCAGCAUCUGUGCAUGCUCCCUUGCGGGUCCCUCGGCUUUCACCUCGGUACCACAUGCAUGUCAAGCCUAGGUAAGGUUCUGCGCGUUGCAUCGAAUUAAACCACACGCUCCGCUGCUUGUGCGGGCCCCCGUCAAUUCCUUUGAGUUUUAGCCUUGCGGCCGUAGUCCCCAGGCGGAGUACUUAAUGCGUUAGCUCCGGCACCGAGGGGGUCGAUACCCCCGACACCUAGUACUCAUCGUUUACGGCGUGGACUAC
rnacentral:misc_RNA from 1 species